UCGAUGAUGUAACGGUAGCAUAACAGUCUCCAAAACUGUUUGUCUAGGUUCAAAUCCUAGUCGAUUUGCCA
rnacentral:tRNA from 2 species